UACAGAGGGGCAAGCGUUGUUCGGAAUUACUGGGCGUAAAGGGCGCGUAGGCGGCCUGUUAAGUCGAACGUGAAAUCCCCGGGCUCAACCCGGGAACUGCGUCCGAUACUGGCAGGCUUGAAUCCGGGAGAGGGAUGCGGAAUUCCAGGUGUAGCGGUGAAAUGCGUAGAUAUCUGGAGGAACACCGGUGGCGAAGGCGGCGAUCCUGGACCGGCAUUGAC
rnacentral:rRNA from 1 species